CACCUCCUUAGAGUUUGAUCCUGGCUCAGAUUGAACGCUGGCGGCAUGCCUUACACAUGCAAGUCGAACGGCAGCACGGGAGCAAUCCUGGUGGCGAGUGGCGAACGGGUGAGUAAUGUAUCGGAACGUACCUUUCAGUGGGGGAUAACGUAGCGAAAGUUACGCUAAUACCGCAUAUUCUGUGAGCAGGAAAGCAGGGGAUCGCAAGACCUUGCGCUGAUUGAGCGGCCGAUAUCAGAUUAGCUAGUUGGUGAGGUAAAGGCUCACCAAGGCGACGAUCUGUAGCGGGUCUGAGAGGAUGAUCCGCCACACUGGAACUGAGACACGGUCCAGACUCCUACGGGAGGCAGCAGUGGGGAAUUUUGGACAAUGGGCGCAAGCCUGAUCCAGCCAUGCCGCGUGAGUGAAGAAGGCCUUCGGGUUGUAAAGCUCUUUCGGCCGGGAAGAAAUCGCAUGGGUUAAUACCCUGUGCGGAUGACG
rnacentral:rRNA from 1 species